UACGUAGGGUGCAAGCGUUGUCCGGAAUUAUUGGGCGUAAAGAGCUCGUAGGCGGUCUGUCGCGUCUGCUGUGAAAACUCGGGGCUUAACCCCGGGCCUGCAGUGGGCACGGGCAGACUAGAGUGCGGUAGGGGAGACUGGAAUUCCUGGUGUAGCGGUGAAAUGCGCAGAUAUCAGGAGGAACACCGGUGGCGAAGGCGGGUCUCUGGGCCGUAACUGACGCUGAGGAGCGAAAGCAUGGGGAGCGAACAGG
rnacentral:rRNA from 1 species